GUACUCACUUCAGUAGUACAUAUGUAAAAAUUGGAACAAUAUAGAUAUUGUUAGCCUGGCCCCUGCCCAAGAAUAACAUAAAAGUUCAUGAAGUGAUCUGUGUUUUG
ensembl:snRNA U6 U6 spliceosomal RNA